rnacentral:rRNA from 1 species
CGCGUAGGCGGUUUUGUAAGUCAGAUGUGAAAGCCCGGGGCUCAACCCCGGAAGUGCAUUUGAUACUGCGAGACUUGAGUAUGGGAGGGGAAGUGGAAUUCCUGGUGUAGAGGUGAAAUUCGUAGAUAUCAGGAGGAACACCAGUGGCGAAGGCGACUUCCUGGACCAAUACUGACGCUGAUGCGCGAAGGCGUGGGGAGCAAACA